rnacentral:rRNA from 1 species
UUUAAAGAGAGUUUGAUCCUGGCUCAGGACGAACGCUGGCGGCGUGCCUAAUACAUGCAAGUCGAACGAACGGAGGAAGAGCUUGCUCUUCCAAAGUUAGUGGCGGACGGGUGAGUAACACGUGGGCAACCUGCCUGUAAGUUGGGGAUAACUCCGGGAAACCGGGGCUAAUACCGAAUGAUAAAGUGUGGCGCAUGCCACGCUUUU